UGGCAUCAAAUUUGGCAAAUCUGAUCAAGC
rnacentral:piRNA from 1 species